AGAGCGAACGCUGGCGGCAGGCCUAACACAUGCAAGUCGAGCGGCCGUAGCAAUACGGCAGCGGCAGACGGGAGAGUAACACGUGGGAACGCGCCCUUCGGUUCGGAAUAACUCAGGGAAACUUGGGCUAAUACCGGAUACGCCCUUACGGGGAAAGAUUUAUUGCCGAAGGAACGGCCCGCGUCCGAUUAGCUUGUUGGUGAGGUAACGGCUCACCAAGGCGACGAUCGGUAGCUGGUCUGAGAGGAUGACCAGCCUCACUGGGACUGAGACACGGCCCAGACUCCUACGGGAGGCAGCAGUGGGGAAUAUUGGACAAUGGGCGCAAGCCUGAUCCAGCCAUGCCGCGUGGGUGAUGAAGGCCCUAGGGUUGUAAAGCCCGUUUCGGCGGGGAAGAGUAAUGACGGUACCCGCAGAAGAAGCCCCGGCUAACUUCGCGCAGCAGCCGC
rnacentral:rRNA from 1 species